rnacentral:rRNA from 1 species
CCAUUCUUUCGCUCCAGAUCCGCCACCCACCCCAAUCCCUCUCCCCCAUCCAGAUCGACAACGACGGCCCCCCGUCGCCGCCCACUCCUUCCCAUCCCGCCGCGGCGAGGAGAUCCAUUCCCGCCGCCGCCGUCGCCCCGCCCCCUUCUCCCCGAUUCAGACCACAUCCUCCCACCAUAGCUCGCCGCCGGGCCUCCUCCUUCCCUUCUCGCAGAUCCAGAGCUGUGAGAUCCGUCUCUCUCCGACCUCGAGGUCGACUGGGAGGGGCGCAAUCCAGGAGCAGCGGGCUACACGCUGGCGGAGAGCGGCCAGCAGCUGCUGCAGGGAGGGGGCUGCUUCUCCCCGGUGUCGGAGCUCGUCGGGCGGGCAGAGGCCGCCGCGUCGGCGGCCGCCUCGGAGAUCUCCGAGACGUACUCCGCCGUCGCCAACGCGCUCAGCUCCGUCGUCGCGGCCGUGGUGCGCGCGCCGCCCAAGGACUUCCGCGUCAUCAGGCAGGAGUGGGCGGCCAUCCGCAUCCAGACCACCUUCCGCGGCUUCCUGAUUCCAUUUGACUUUUGUUGUUACCGCUACAGUUUGUUGUUGGAUGAUGUGUUGGAGCAGCAGCGAGCAAUAGACCUUUUCUCGCAGAAGGUGAAGAGGUCGUCGUUCAGCACGUCAGAUAGGGUUCUCCAGCUGUCGGACUAGGUGGAGGCACUCUUCCUGAAGCACUUCGCGCUCCUCGACCUCGACCUCGAGCUGGCACAGGGGCGAGCUGGCGCAGAUGACGGCGACUGUGCUCCUCGACCUCGAGCUCCGCCCCCGUCCGCCCACGCUCCUCGACCUCGAGCUCUGCCCUCGCCCGCCCGGGCCGCUGGUACUUCCCCUGCCCCCCCUCUCGCCGUGCUGUUCGAUGCAAUCUGUGCCAUACCACUGUAUGAACCGGCUGUUGCUUAUCCCAUCGCUGUUGCGUUGCCGUCGAGUUAGCGUCUCAUGCCACUUCUGUAGCUAUUUGCUGCCUCACGAUUUUGCAAGAGCAGCCCACUUUCCUGUAGUGAGUGAAACAAAGCCAUGUACCUUACCAAAGCUAGGCGGUUAUGUUUGUGUCUAGCUUUCUCAGUAUAUAUACUUGCUAGUAUUUUUGUGUCUAGUUUUCUCAGUCCGAUUGCCGGCAUGCAAAAGAUGGAUGCACAUGUACAUACAUACCAAAGUAGACCAUCUAUAUAGUCUCUAGCCAUGUUGAUAAUAUAUUUUUUAAGAAAGAAAUCAACUCAGAUUAUAUAUGUACAAUUAUUAUGCACAUACGUAUGGUGACUGCUGAUUGAUUAUUUUUGUUUUCCUUUGAAUCCCAUUUUUAUUGACUAGCAGCACUCACACUAAGUAUUACAAAUCCGCCGUGCAUACAAUCCAAUCAUAUCAAAUGUAGUUGAUUUGUAUAUCCUGUAAAUAAUUUCUUUGCACGCCCAUUCUGCCAUGUCAAUGAUGAUGAUUUAAUUAUGAUUUCUGCCAAUGGAUGGAUUCACAUGAUUUAUGGAGAGAUAUAGGGAGCAAAAGGACUUGCAUAUGGUGUUGACUGACUUGGAGAAGGCCUAUGAUAAGAUACCACGGAAUGUCAUGUGGUGGGCCUUGGAGAAACACAAAGUUCCAGCAAAGUACAUUACCCUCAUCAAGGACGUGUAUGAUAAUGUUGUGACAAGUGUUCGAACAAGCGAUGUCGACACCAAUGACUUCCCGAUUAAGAUAGGACUGCAUUAGGGGUCAGCUUUGAGCCCUUAUCUUUUUGCAUUGGUGAUGGAUGAGGUCACAAGGGAUAUACAAGGAGAUAUCCCAUGGUGUAUGCUCUUUGCGGAUGAUGUGGUGCUAGUUGACGAUAGUUGGGCGGGGGUAAAUAGGAAGUUAGAGUUAUGGAGACAAACCUUGGAAUCGAAAGGGUUUAGGCUUAGUAGAACUAAAACCGAGUACAUGAUGUGCGGUUUCAGUACUACUAGGUGUGAGGAGGAGGAGGUCAGCCUUGAUGGCCAGGUGGUACCUCAGAAGGACACCUUUCGGUAUUUGGGGUCAAUGUUGCAGGAGGAUGGGGGUAUUGAUGAAGAUGUGAACCAUCGAAUCAAAGUCGGAUGGAUGAAGUGGCGCCAAGCUUCUGGCAUUCUCUGUGACAAGAGAGUGCCCCAAAAGCUAAAAGGCACGUUCUACAGGACGGCGGUUCGACCCGCAAUGCAGAGUGUUGGCCGAUUAAAAGGCGACAUGUUCAACAUUUAGGUGUGGCGGAGAUGCGUAUGUUGAGAUGGAUGUGUGGCCACACGAGGAAGUAUCGAGUCCGGAAUGAUGAUAUACGAGAUAGAGUUGGGGUAGCACCAAUUGAGGAGAAGCUUGUCCAACAUCGUCUGAGAUGGUUUGGGCAUAUUCAGCGCAGGCCUCCAGAAGCUCCAGUGCAUAGCGGACGGCUAAAGCGUGCGGAGAAUGUCAAGAGAGGGCGGGGUCGACCGAAUUUGACAUGGGAGGAGUCCGUUAAGAGAGACCUGAAGGAUUGGAGUAUCGACAAAGAGCUAGCUAUGGACAGGGGUGCGUGGAAGCUUGCUAUCCAUGUGCCAGAGCCAUGAUUUGGUUGCGAGGUCUUUUGGGUUUCACCUCUAGCCUACCCCAACUUCUUUGGGACUAAAGGCUUUGUUGUUGUUGUUGUUGUUGAUGGAUUCACAUGAUGCGACGGACCUGCUGUCGGCUGUCUUCCCCGACCACUUAUGUGAGCUGCUCCUGCCGCUGACCCUCCUCAACUUCGCCCUUUGCUCGCUGUUGCUCCUGGUGCCACCGGAUGCAAGGGUGGAGCUUGCGCCUCUUUCUCUACACCAGUUUAUGUUGCUUCCGUUGCUGCGAAUGUGGUUAAGAUGGGGUUCUACACCAGCUUCUUAUGUUGCAUGUGAAUGGGGUGAGUAGAUAGAAUUGAAAUGAGCUAAGCAUUGGUUGAUUCGCCAAGUGAAGAUAGCAUGGACCCUGGGGCGGCAUCCGCGUCCUGGGGUUUGCAGCUCAGCGUGGUGCUGCUGACAAGGAAAUUCACCUGUGCGGCGGCGGUGGGGAAGGAGCAGCACCGACAGUCCUGACACCGACAGUCCUGACAGAGAAAGCCAUGUUGCCGUUUUGUUUGUUCCCAGCCUUGACUAUGGUUGUCCAGCGAGUCCGGUAUGUCGUCAUUUUUUGUAAAGCAGUAUUGUAUCACACUUGUAGAGCUCGUUACACAUGUAGAUCUUGUAAAGUACUGUAUUACACAUGGUCAUAUGUAUUGGCAACGUGAUCUGGU